rnacentral:rRNA from 1 species
CAACUCCUACGGGACGCAGCAGUGAGGAAUAUUGGUCAAUGGGCGGAAGCCUGAACCAGCCAAGUCGCGUGAGGGACUAAGGCCCUGCGGGUCGUAAACCUCUUUUGCCGGGGAGCAGUGGUCCGGACGCGUCCGGACCGGGAGAGUACCCGGAGAAAAAGCAUCGGCUAACUCCGUGCCAGCAGCCGCGGUAAUACGGAGGAUGCGAGCGUUAUCCGGAUUUAUUGGGUUUAAAGGGUGCGUAGGCGGAAUGCUAAGUCAGCGGUAAAAUCGCGGGGCUCAACCUCGCUCCGCCGUUGAAACUG